UACGUAGGAGGCGAGCGUUGUCCGGAUUCACUGGGCGUAAAGGGCGCGUAGGCGGCGGCUUGAGUCCCUGCGUGAAAUCUCCCGGCUCAACCGGGAGGGUGCGCGGGAUACUGGGCGGCUUGAGGACAUCAGAGGAGAGCGGAAUCCCCGGUGUAGUGGUGAAAUGCGUAGAUAUCUGGAGGAAUACCGGUGGCGAAGGCGGCAUCCUGGACCGGCAUUGACGCUGAUGAGCGAAAGCUAGGGGAGCAAACGGG
rnacentral:rRNA from 1 species